rnacentral:rRNA from 1 species
UACGGGGGGAGCAAGCGUUGUUCGGAUUUACUGGGCGUAAAGGGCACGUAGGCGGCUUUGUAAGUUAGAGGUGAAAGCCCAGGGCUUAACCCUGGAAUUGCCUUUAAGACUGCAUCGCUAGAAUCGUGGAGAGGUGAGUGGAAUUCCGAGUGUAGAGGUGAAAUUCGUAGAUAUUCGGAAGAACACCAGUGGCGAAGGCGACUCACUGGACACGUAUUGACGCUGAGGUGCGAAAGCGUGGGGAGCAAACAGG